UUUUUGGAGAGUUUGAUCUUGGCUCAGGACGAACGCUGGCGGCGUGCCUAAUACAUGCAAGUCGAGCGCGGGAAGCAAGUAAACAUCCUUUUGGAUGUUCGCUUGUGGAACGAGCGGCGGACGGGUGAGUAACACGUGGGCAACCUACCUAUAAGACUGGGAUAACUCGCGGAAACGUGAGCUAAUACCUGAUAAUACUUUUUAUCGCAUGAUGGAAAGU
rnacentral:rRNA from 1 species